GGCAGCCAGCUUCUCCACAAGGAUGAUGUGGAGGACAGUGUCAAAGGCCUUACUGAAGUCCAGGACCUACCGUUCAUGAACCCACGCUGACUGGGCCUGAUCCCCUGGUUGACCUUUAAUUGAUCCAUGAUGGCUCCCGAGAUCAUCCGUUCCAUAACCUUCCCUGGCACCGAGGUGAGACUGAUAGGUCUGUAGCUACCAGGAUCAUCUUUCCAGCCCUUCCUGAAGAUGGGAUUCACAUUUGCCAGUCUUCAGUCCAGCGGGACGUUCCCUGUUAGCCAGGACUGCUGAAGGAUGAUUGGAGAGUGGCCUGGCAACCACAGCCGCCAACUCCUUCAGCUCUCUCGGGUGCAAUCCGUCGAGUGCAAUGGACUUGUGAGUGUCCAGCUUUUCGGAGCAGGAGGAACCCCUCCCCCUCCCAGAAGUGGUGCUUCAUUGGGUCGGGAUGGGGGAUUCCAUGGGGAGAAGGAGAGUGCGGACCGCAAAGGACAAAGCAACGACGGAGACGCCCCACACCGCGCCCGCCUCCAUCGGGGGGGGGACCCGGCACCGCUGCGCGAGGCCUCCUCCCAUGGACGGAUCCGCCCGCAGUGCUCGGAGCACUCCCUGCUGUUUGUUCCCAAUUUCAUGGGGUUUCCCCCAAUUUCGUUUUCCCCAGACUCCGUAGAUAUUUCACUCAUUUCUUUUA